GGGAGGGGGUGUAGGGGGGAUUUGCUGCAAAAAGUCCUUUAUUCUGAUUCUCUUCCAGUCCAGGCCAAGGCAGCCUCUGACUGAUGCUCCAGAGACUGGGAGGCAUCUGGUGAAUGAACCAUGACAGAUGUCAAAGAGAAGAACUUCCUACAAGAAAGCCUGGAGCCAAGAGAAAUGCUUGUGGAUUCUCCAGGAAGAUUGCCCAAGGAUAUUUCCUUGCAAAAUAGGGUUGAUAAAAAUUUCUUGAGGCAGAUGGUCUCAUGGCAGGAAGUGGAUGGUGGGACUUCCUAGGUUAAAACUAAUGCACUGGUCCAGG